AUACCAUGAUGCGGGUACUUCCUUAGCAACUCUUUAAAUCAUUCCCAUGCAUCAUAUAAAGACUCCCCACCCAAAUGAUGAAAGUUAUUAAUCUCUCCUCUAUAU